rnacentral:lncRNA from 1 species
CUAAUUUUAUUUCUUUCUCUAUUUCUUACUAUAAAGGCAGUUGACAAUAUAUAUGCAAGGUACGACGGCUGUGAAUCUGAUAAUGAUUGUCAUAAAUUAUUUGAGGGUAAAGAAAUUCUAAAUUAUUACCGUGCAGAGUGCCAGUUUGAUGUUUGUUUUUUAGUUCGCAUAAAACGAAUCCCAAAGUAGACAAACGCCAUAUGUAGAGAAGAAUGAGUUCUCCUUGUAGCAACUAAUAAUUGUAUUUUUAUCUUUAAAAUGUUGGUAAUGAAAUGAAAUAAAAUAAUCUUCUUCUCUCUUAAUAUAUGUAUUUUUUUUUUUUACUUUGAAGCCCAUAACUCUAAUUCUAUAGGAUAAUAUUGUCAAGUUUA